GCAUUGGUGGUAUAGUGGUGAGCAUA
rnacentral:piRNA from 4 species